rnacentral:ncRNA from 1 species
AAUUAACUGAUGAAGAGGUUAGUAGCUUUAAAAUGAUUUAAGAGAGUCAGUGUCUUGGUGUAAGCUGAUAUCAUAAUAUUGUGAAUCCACCUUGGAAGUACUGAUAAAACAGUUCGGUAAUACCGUUAUAAAUUAGAGAGAAUUAGCAUUAAUUUGUUAAUUAAAUAGGGUGGCAACACGGAGUCUUUCGUCCCUUUA